UCGAGAAUCAUUCGCAAUGGGCGAAAGCCUGACGAUGCGACGCCGUGUGUGUGAUGAAGGCCUUCGGGUUGUAAAGCACUUUCGCCUGAGAACAAGAGAAGCCGGCUAACAUCCGGCUGAUUUGAGGGUACCAGGUAAAGAAGCACCGGCUAACUCCGUGCCAGCAGCUGCGGUAAUACGGAGGGUGCGAGCAUUAAUCGGAUUUAUUGGGCGUAAAGGGCGCGUAGGCGGGAUUGUAAGUCAGAUGUGAAAGCCCGGGGCUCAACCCCGGAACAGCAUUUGAUACUGCAAACCUCGAGGGUAGGCGGAGAAAAUGGAAUUCCACAAGUAGCGGUGAAAUGCGUAGAUAUGUGGAAGAACACCGGUGGCGAAGGCGAUUUUCUAGCUUAUACCUGACGCUGAGGCGCGAAAGCAAGGGGAUCAAACA
rnacentral:rRNA from 1 species